rnacentral:lncRNA from 1 species
AGGCUUCCUCCCUGCCUCCCGCCCCUCACCACACCCACUCACUCCCCCAAGUAAUUAAGUCUAAACUGGGGCCUGUGCAGUGAUUGGCCGCGCCGGGUCUCACUGCGGAUGAACUUGACUUGUUCCAAUGAUCUGUGACAGACAUCUGCAGACAGCGCCCUUAACAGAAUUAGGGUCAGGCUGGUAUCAAACCCCAGGAACGCCAGGCAUUGCCUCAAAGUAGAUGCAAACCGUUAAAUCUUCCAGGACUCAGAAGGACCAGAGAGAGCCGGAUACCUCUGUUUGCCUGAGAAUACAGAUCAACCCACAGAACAAAGCGGAUUUCCAAGGCAUCUCCCCAGAGCGAGCCUUUGCUGAUUUUCUCUUUGCCAGCACCAUCCUGCACCUUGUUGUCAUGAACUUUGUUGGCUGAAUCAUUCUCAUUUACUUAAUUGAGGAGUAGGAGACUAAAAGAAUGUUCACUCUUUGAAUUUCCUGGAUAAGAGUUCUGGAGAUGGCAGCUUAUUGGACACAUGGAUUUUCUUCAGAUUUGCACUUACUGCUAGCUCUGCUUUUUAUGCAGGAGAAAAGCCCAGAGUUCACUGUGUGUCAGAACAACUUUCUAACAAACAUUUAUUAAUCCAGCCUCUGCCUUUCAUUAAAUGUAACCUUUUGCCUUCCAAAUUAAAGAACUCCAUGCCAC